rnacentral:lncRNA from 1 species
AUGUGGCACAUAAAAUAGGGAAUUCACUAUUUAUUCCUUUUAUACAACUUUGAGUAUUACAAAUCCUACCCCCCUUAAAAAUAAUCUCGUCCUCGAGAUUUAAGAAGAUCUAGGGAAAAAGGUGGGGAAAAUCUAUACGAAGCUCUUCUUCUCUUUCCCAAGUUGCUUCACCUUCACCGUGGUGGCUCCAUUGCACUUUGCACAUCUUUAUCACCUUAUUUCUUGUAACUCGAGUCAAAGUGUCAAGAAUCUUGAUAGGAUACUCCUUGUAAACCAAACCACACUGAACACUGAGCCCUUCCAUUGGUAACUGUUCUUCAGGCACCCUGAGACAUUUCUUCAGCCGAGAUACAUGAAAUACAUCAUGAACAUCCGCAAGAUGAUCCGGUAACUCCAAUUGAUAUGCAACCUCUCCCACUCGCUUUAAGAUUAAGAAGGGUCCAAUAAAGCGAGGGGACAACUUUCCUUUGACUUUGAAUCUUCUCAUACCCCGGAGUGGUGACACCUUUAAAUAGACAUAAUCUCCUUCCUCAAACUCAAGUAGUCUUCUCCGGGUGUCUGCAUAACUUUUCUGCCUGGAUUGUGCAGUACUCAAAUUCUCCCUUAUUUGCUGAACUUGUUCCUCUGCUUCUUGUAUAAUCUCAGGUCCAAACAACUGCCUUUCACCAGUUUGAUUCCAAUACAAGGGAGUCCUGCACUUUCUGCCAUACAAAGCCUCAAACGGUGACAUCUUCAAGCUGGCCUGGUAGCUAUUAUUAUAUGAGAACUCCGCAUACGGCAAACUCUUAUCCCAACUACCACCAUGUUUAAGAGCACAAGCUCUUAACAUAUCUUCAAGCACUUGGUUAGUCCUCUCAGUCUGCCCAUCAGUCUGGGGAUGGUAAGCCGAACUGAAAUUCAAUCUUGUAUCCAAUGACUCGUGCAACUUCUUCCAAUACCGAGAGGUAAACUGUGAUCCUCGAUCAGACACGAUCUUCUUUGGCACACCAUGUAAGCAUACAAUCCGUGCCAUGUACAACUCUGCCAACUUGGCACCUGAAUACGUGGUCUUCACUGGAAUAAAGUGGGCUACCUUGGUUAGCCUGUCCACAAUCACCCAUAUAGAAUCAUAACCAGC